rfam:Schistosoma curassoni strain Dakar, Senegal genome assembly, scaffold: SCTD_scaffold0003498
AUUAAAGGUGACGAGUCUCAAAUAGGACGAAACGCGCUUCCUGAAU